rnacentral:rRNA from 1 species
UACGUGGGGGGCAAGCGUUGUUCGGAAUUACUGGGCGUAAAGGGCUCGUAGGCGGCCAACUAAGUCAGACGUGAAAUCCCUCGGCUUAACCGGGGAACUGCGUCUGAUACUGGAUGGCUUGAGUUUGGGAGAGGGAUGCGGAAUUCCAGGUGUAGCGGUGAAAUGCGUAGAUAUCUGGAGGAACACCGGUGGCGAAGGCGGCGUCCUGGACCAAUACUGACACUGAGGAGCGAAAGCCAGGGGAGCAAACGGG